rnacentral:lncRNA from 1 species
CGACGAUCAACCUCAACAAGAAUAAAAACAAGAAAAACCUAGAUAUGUAAAGAUUAAUCUAGCGUGAAAGUGCUAUUACCCAUUUGCCACAUAGGAAAACCUCACCCGGACCUCCAAUAUCGAAAUAAGAAGCUACCAGGCCUCCAAUAUAGCUCAAAUAAUACCUGAGCUGAUCAAACUACACUGACACACUUUGAGAAUCCUCUGCCCUACCUAGCAAACCUUCAAACUGCUCUAGAUGUAACAUUCCUUCCUUUUGAAAGGCCGUAGAAAUCCUAAACCAACUACAUAUAUUGUACCAUGAACCUGCCAAAAGACAACAAAUUAAGGUUACUUAGUGUGGAUGUGUGGUGUGGGAGUUGCUUUCUCUUUAUUUUACGAUAUAUGCUCUCUCUAGUUUCAAAUAUAAGCAACAAAACUUUAUAUUUUAUUUUUUAACACACACGCACACGCAAUAACAAGCUUUUAUACGAGGUUAUAUUUUAAAACUUCAAAUUAAUUGAAUCUUCCAUGUUUGAUUCCAGUGAGAUAUUUGCAAAACAGACUGAACUGUGUAUCAUGCAUUUUCUCCUGCAUCAUUUUUUGAAUAUUGGUUUCUUCUGCAAUUCUUUUCUAUAUAAACAUCAAUGCUUAAAAAUAUCCAUGUAUCAAUUCAACUAUGGAAAGCCUACUUCCUUGCAUUUUUAUGCAUAGUAUCAACCAAACUAUUGAGUGAGGUUAUAUUUAUAUUUUGUCUCAAUAGGAUUCUGUGUUUGGUGGUAUAUAUUUUGAUGUUUGUUUUAUAUUCUCAGUGAAGAUGAGUAAUCUUUGCUCUUCAUAUUUCAAUUUGGUGAAGGUGUUUGAUCUCCAAUAAUCAUCUAAGGAACAUAACUUGAGCAAAUGGAGCAGGCAUAUAUUAAGGCGUUUCAAUCCAUGAAGUAUGUAUUAGGUUCAUAAUCCAUUCCUCUCUAAACUGAUUCAAAUAUCUUUUGCAAAUGUAUAAUUUAAUAUACAAUUUUAAAAUACAUUACAUUCAAUUCAAACGGUUUAUCUUCUGUCUCUGUACAAUUAAUAGUCUUGAAAUGCAACGAAACACAUGUAAUAAUCCAUUUGAGAUGCAUGUUCCUGGUAAGGUAAGAUACUGUUAUGCGAGUUAAUUGUAAAGCAUGAAAUAAAAUUUUUGCAUGAUAAAUAUUGAACGAAAUUCAAAGUGUAUUCGAAGAUGCAAAAGUUUAUAGCGACUAUAAACAAUCCGAAGUGUAUGAGUUGCUUAAUAAAACAUAUCAGUUACUAAAACAUGUGCUAGAGGAGGUAAAUUGGCACAAUUAUUUCAAUUUGGGUUCAAGUUCACAUGACUUCCAGCCAUGAAUUGAGAGAAGUUGAUUAGUUCUGAGAUUUCAGAUGAUUAACUACAUCAACCAAAUGCUGCAUAUUCUGCCAAGAACAAAGGGGUAUCCAAUUCUAACAUCUCUUAACAGAUACACAAUGAUUCACACCAAGAACAAAGUUAAGGCCAAACAAGUUAAAACCCAAUUCUACACUCACAUACAAAUUCACCAGUGAAGAAUUCAUGACCCCACCUUAAAGAGUUCAG